rnacentral:lncRNA from 1 species
CUUUUAGACGAAUCAUUUCCUCCCCUACAAAUCGUUCUCUUUUUAAAACUCCUACCAACUUAAACGUAGAGUCUUUGUAAGUGACCACCACUGUCCUUUCAAUCUACGACAACGUCAACUCUAAUAUCACUCCUCAUUGUUGCAGUGUAGUAAUUGUUAGUUAAAAGUAUCACAUAGUGAGAUGACACAUAUAGUUAAUGUCUUAAUGUUUUAGAUGGAGAUAUAAUAUCUCUCUAAUUUAUAUGAUUGCUCCCAACGCAACGUGAAUGAUCUUCAGAUAGUCUCUCCCCAUGAUCCAACACAUUCACCAUUAAAGAUUUUUGUUGGUGUUACCCUUUGCUUUUUAGGAAAAAUGAGUCCUAAUAAUCUAAAGUUCGUCGAAAAAGUAAGCAAAAACUGACCAAAACUAAAAUCUUCACUAUUAAAAAUAAU